CCCUUAGAUGUUCUGGGCCGCACGCGCGCUACAAUGGUCUUCGCAAACGGAUGCAUUCUCGAAGGAGAAUGCCAAUCUUGGAAUCUAUGCCUUGGUCGGGACAGUUGCUUGCAAUUUUUCGACUCGAACCAGGAAUUCCUUGUAAUCGUGAUUCAUCACAUCACGAUGAAUACGUCCCUGCCCUUUGUACACACCGCCCGUCACUCCUACCGAUCGAAGAGUUAGGUGAAUUGUUUUGAUCGAUAAGAUUUGACUAUGGUCAACUCUCGUUGUGAAAUUCUGUGAAUCUGACUGUUUAGAGGAAGGAAAAGUCGUAACA
rnacentral:rRNA from 1 species